GGAGGUGCAGUUGAAGUGGUAUUGUUCCUCCGAUACAACUUUCCAAUAUUAAAUGACUUAAAGAACAUGUUCCUAAAGUUUAAGUUAAUUUUGGAACCUACAUUUAAGUCAAUAAA